AGAGUUUGAUCCUGGCUCAGGAUGAACGCUAGCUACAGGCUUAACACAUGCAAGUCGAGGGGCAGCAUGAACUUAGCUUGCUAAGUUUGAUGGCGACCGGCGCACGGGUGAGUAACACGUAUCCAACCUUCCGUUUACUCAGGGAUAGCCUUUUCGAAAGAAAGAUUAAUACCUGAUAGUAUGGUGAGAUUGCAUGAUAACACCAUUAAAGAUUUAUUGGUAAACGAUGGGGAUGCGUUCCAUUAGGUAGG
rnacentral:rRNA from 1 species